rnacentral:lncRNA from 1 species
CUUUCCGACCUCGCCAGUGCUUGGGCUCACACUGCCUCCUUUCGGGCAGCUCCACGCGUAUCGGCCACGCUCACGCACACACCUAGGCGCGCACCCGCCAGCUGCACUUGCACGCGCACACUGCCUUGGUGCUCGCCCCCCGGGCCGGCUCCGGCCUCGAGCCGCUGCUCCCAGUCGCCGCCACCACGGAUGCCAGCAGCUGCUCCCAUCUGCAGUGCAGCAGCCCCGGCCGCCGGCCGGCCCGCCCCGGGCUGGAGGAACCGCACCAGGACGCUGGCCCUGCUCGUGGCUAGUCUGCACGCCAGGGCUCAGCGAGGAUGGGAGGGUCGCAGUCCCUGCAGCCAGCCCCAGCCAGUGACCUGAACCUGGAGGUUUCUGAGGCCAUGUAAGUGCAGUGCUCUGCCUCCUGUAGUCCCCGUGGGGAGGAGAGGCUGCCCGGCUUUGUUAGUGCUUCUCUCCCCCAUGUGGUGCAGCGUGAAGCCUAGGCUGGCCCGGGAAGCCUUGCAAAGAUUUACCUGGUGGCUGCUGCUUGGUAGUGUUUUGUGUUUUAGCUGGACCGAGUUUCUUGCAGCCCUGGGAUACCUCUGGAGCAGAAAUAGCCCUCUGGAAUUCGGUUUUGGUUAUUCAGCAGCAGGGUGCAUGGUGGGGGCUUCUGCGCUAUCAGCAUCUUUUUCCUCUGUACCCCCGCCCCCACUGGUAUUUCCUGCUAGGGAACUGGAGGCAUCAAGGAGAGAGGGCCUCCUCCUAGGAGGAGUAUUGUACAUGCUGGAAACAGUGCUGGGUUAGCUCCCUGCAUGGCAGGACAGAUGGAUGGCAUGGAGCUCAGAGUGCGUGUGCAGCCGGGCUAGUCCAGGCAUCACCAGGCUACUCUCUUCUGCUGACACCGAGGACGAGGCCGCCUGCUAUUAUUAGUAAAGACAGCCAAACAGCCUUGUCAUUGGUUGAGGCAGAGUCUGACUAUGCAUCGAUCCAGGAAUCCGAUCUUUUCUCCAAACCACAGUGCUAAUGUGCUCAGAAGUGGCUUUUUAUUCCCGAGGAGUGUUUGUUACAGUUGCUCUUUCUGUUAUGGUAGUCUCCAUUACAAACCCAGUCUUGUUGGGGGCGCGGGAGGGAUGGGGCUUAUAGACUAGGUCUGUCUGCCAGGUCACAACUCAGCAAGAAAGGCUGCUGUCGAAAGUGGGUUCUGCCAGUUCCCUCGGAUGUCUUCUCCCCUUUUCCAAAGAGGAGAAUAUUUCUGGAGACUUGCGGGGUGGGGGGGUGGCAGAGCAGUGUGCGUUCUUGAGUAUUUGAUACGUAACUUUAAAGCUCGCAGGCCCUGGUCUGUGUAUUGGAGUAGGGUUUGGGCCCCAUGAGAGGUGUGGGAGUGUGGGGCUUUCACCCUUCGCUGGGCUUAAGUGACACGCUGGACUCAUGUGGUGAUGUAAUGCCGGGCUGAGCCGCAUGGUUUUCCAGGCUCUGCCUUUUGAACAGCCAGUCAUUCUGAGGAGCAGGUGUGCAUCCGACCUGUGUCUUCAUCCCCGUAACCUGAGAGCGCAGUAUCUUACAAUGGAGGUGUAUUGUGUUUGGGAGUUUUUAUGGUAUGAACCUAGGGCCAGGCUGUCCUAUCCACUCAGGUGCAGUAUUGUUCGAUGUGUGGAAUAUCCUACUGCCUUAUAGGACUCGAGGAAAGAAAAUUUCAGACUCUUUUGUUUGUUUGUUUUCUCAAAGUCUCUGAACUGGAAAUCAGUGACAUCUGACACCAAAGCACCGGAGGGACCAGAAAAGAUAAUGUGACCCUAGGUGGGAAAACUUGCACAUUAGCCAUUGGAAAUUAAGUUCCCAGGUCCCGAAGGUCCCCGUCUUCUAUCCUGGUUGAGUUACUGCCUUGUGUUCUUGGGAGCUGAGGGCUGAGUCUGGAGAGACUCUGGUAGGAACAUGUUCUUUUAGAUAAUAGUCCUUAAGGGUUUGUCCCAGGGGGAUAGUGGCAACAGAAGAUAGAGGCCCCGUGGCCACCUUGAGAGGGCAGCUGCCCAUCCAACCUUUUCAUUGUUCCACUUGAUCCAGUUUUACCACUUGAGGCUUCUGAAAUGUCUGAGAGUACAAUUUAAGAUGAUACAUGAGGCGCCUUCACAAAAAUCCUAUCCUCCGUUCCCCAAAGUUUAGAAAAGUGGAAAGGGGAAUUGUUGAGGGCUGUUGUUUCUAAUGGCUUGCCUUUGCACCCCCUUCUCUAAGUGUUUCCCCUACAGAUGUGUUCUGCCCAACCUUGAAG